rnacentral:lncRNA from 1 species
UAUUCCUCAGUUUACCCGCCCGGUCUGUUGGCUUGUUUUUUAAUGUUUACUUUUAUUUUGCAGUGCAGGGGAAUCCGAGCCAGGGCUUCCUGCGUCUAGGCAGGAGAGUGCUGCUGAGUGAAGUAACCAGGGAGGCACACUUAUUGUUUCUGCCAGCGCUUCCUUCGAGGACAGCUGCUUGAACCCAAGGCACUGUCAUUGCCCGCUGCAGGCUGAGAGGGUCUGAGGCUUGUGUGCAAUUCCAGAUAUUGAGCUAAAGCCGAGCAAUCGCUACCUAAGCAUCCGUUCUUCAUGCUGUCAGUGAAACCUGGGAAGAAGAAUUUUCUUCCCUCCUAAGGGAAGUGAGGACUCACCCUCACCGCCACUGCAGACCAUGGCAGUAAUGAGCCCGACAGACAGCGCCGCUGAACACACAGACAAAUGCUGAGCGAAUGCCAGGGCGGGGCUCGCAGCUACCCCUGUGUGCAGAGAAGACCAAACCCACUGCUCCAAGGCCAGAGGGCAAAGGUUCACCACACGACCUUGAAGAUCAAGGGGAUAAUAUUUACGGCGUUGAGCAGAGCAGAAGCACAGUACUCCAAGGCGUGUGCAGUGCUGGGGAUCAAACCCGGGGCUUCACGACACGCUCCACCACUGAGCCACACCGCGGCCUCCUCCCAGAUGCCUCCUGCCUGUCUCCGCCGGGACACACCCUGGACCCUGCACGGCCGUGUCCCAGUCAGAGCUCAGUGUUUCCCACCCGCAACCCACCUCGCUGCUUCUGCCCUUUGUCACCAUCCCUCCACUUAGCCAAGGCGAGACCUGGUGAGGGCUCUUCACACACAUCCGGCUCCCAAAUCCCGUGA